UACAGAGGUCCCAAGCGUUGUUCGGAUUCACUGGGCGUAAAGGGUGCGUAGGUGGCCAGGUAAGUUCGGUGUGAAAGCUCGGAGCUUAACUCCGAAAUGGCAUUGAAUACUAUCUGGCUAGAGGUUCGGAAGGGAGACUGGAAUUCUCGGUGUAGCAGUGAAAUGCGUAGAUAUCGAGAGGAACACCAGUGGCGAAGGCGAGUCUCUGGACGAAUCCUGACACUGAGGCACGAAAGCCAGGGGAGCAAACAGG
rnacentral:rRNA from 1 species